AGGAACAGAGCUACUCCCACUUGCCAGUGACAAACUGGAGUCAUUAGUACCGUUGUGAACUUGUGUUCAAAGCACAGACCUGGCUGAGUGCGUUAUCCACAUUAAACACCAGCGGGGCCACAACCUGCAUCUUGUUUAGGCUCAAAACUCGU